rnacentral:lncRNA from 1 species
AAAGCUUCCUUCUGUGCAAAAAUAAAUCAAAAUAUAUGAGUUUGAAUGGGAAUAAGCCUCGUCCAAUGUGGUAAGAGCUGUUGUGUAAUGGCCUGUCCCUUUCCUCUCUCUGAAGGUACCAACCCUACGCAUCCCACUGGCCUGGAGUAACGUUUGGAGCAGCCUGGCAGUGCAAUCCUUUUAGUAGCUUCCAAGGAUUUUUGGGAUCAUGGGAUACAUGGACAUACAGACCCAUGAAGCCCUCUGGAGAAUGCUGGCUGUGGAUAAAAGCAUCUUCAAGUUCUUACCAUCUCUUUACCCUGUUUUUUCCUGGAUCACCUUGUGUCAUUUGGGAAGGAAGUCUCUCUGUCCUGAGGAUUAUAGUGUACCAGUCACUUAGUGGAAUACCUCCCCAGUCAUCUUCUCGAGAUGGAGCCAUUGCUUUACCAAGCUGGAAGAUAUCUUUUCUUCUCCCAGAGCCUUUCCAGUGCAGCAGCACUCCUGUCCAGCAGGUCUCGGUUGACUGCAAAAAGGAGAAGGGAGGAGCGAGUGGAAGGGGGGUCAGAUCCUGCCAGGGUUUCCUGGGAAAUGAGGUGUAUCCACUCUUUCGAUGA